GAAGAACGUAGCCUCAGCAAAAGCAUCAGGACAGAGUUACAACAUCACUAACAUCAUCUCUGAGGACAGAGGAGAAUAUUACUGUGAGGCCCAGAAUGGAAGAGGAUCUAUGAACUCUACAGCUCUGAUGAUCAUUGUAGCAGGGAAACAAACCCCAGUUCUGACUGCAGCUGUAGGAAUCAUAGUGGUUGUUCUGGUUCUCAUCCUCUGUCUCUCUGGACUCAUGUGGUUCAGGAAGAAGGCCUCCAAACCCACCGACACAAGAGACACAGCAGACGUUGGACAGGUGAGUCUGUUGUAAUCAGAAGGAGACUGUGAUGACUGUAUUCUUUGUGGAACAUUUCCACUCCUCAUGUUGUCUGUCCUCUCUCUCCAUCAGGGAGACUCUAGUCCAGUGUAUGACAACAUCUCAAACAUGGCCAUGAACUCUACUGCAGCACAGACAGAGUCCACAUACGACCAGGAUGAUGUUCACUACGCCAGCGUCCACUUCUCUCGUCCCAAAAACCAGGAAGUGCCUCUGUACUCCACCGUCCAAGUGCUUCAGCCCCAGAAACAGGAUGAGGAUGUCCAGUACACUGCUGUGAAAUUCAACCUCCCCAGUGCUGC